rnacentral:rRNA from 1 species
GUGAACGCUGGCGGUAGGCCUAACACAUGCAAGUCGAACGGCAGCACAGUAAGAGCUUGCUCUUACGGGUGGCGAGUGGCGGACGGGUGAGGAAUACAUCGGAAUCUACCUUUUCGUGGGGGAUAACGUAGGGAAACUUACGCUAAUACCGCAUACGACCUACGGGUGAAAGCAGGGGAUCUUCGGACCUUGCGCGAUUGAAUGAGCCGAUGUCGGAUUAGCUAGUUGGCGGGGUAAAGGCCCACCAAGGCGACGAUCCGUAGCUGGUCUGAGAGGAUGAUCAGCCACACUGGAACUGAGACACGGUCCAGACUCCUACGGGAGGCAGCAGUGGGGAAUAUUGGACAAUGGGCGCAAGCCUGAUCCAGCCAUACCGCGUGGGUGAAGAAGGCCUUCGGGUUGUAAAGCCCUUUUGUUGGGAAAGAAAAGCAGCAGGUUAAUACCCCGCUGUUCUGACGGUACCCAAAGAAUAAGCACCGGCUAACUUCGUG